CUCAGUUGCUAAGUGAAAGGGGUAGAGAAAUAUCCGUCCGUGGGAGGUGGGCUGAGGAAAGAAAUUCUAUUAGAGUCAUCAAAUUUGCCUGUACCGAGAUCCUCCAGGGCGUGAGAGUAACUCAGUCUGGUUUGUGAGUGAGUGUUUGCCAGGUGCCUUCUCGCCGAUCGCGUUUGCAUUGUGCCGACGAGAUUUACGUAUUCUACGCAGAUUCCUGGGUGGUUUUCUCUUAUUUUGAACAUAAAUUCCGAGGUAUUCCCUGGGAUGAACAGACGAUUCUGGAAUCAUCCUGGCCUCCUGAAGACAUCCGGGCCAUAGAUCGGAAGGCAUGAUAUCCAAGAAAUGAUGGUGGACGUUAUGAGAAAAUGCCAGGACACUUUGACACUGGAAAAGGUCCCCCACUGGCCAUGGCACUCUGAAGGUGA